UACGUAGGGGGCAAGCGUUGUCCGGAUUUACUGGGCGUAAAGAGCGUGUAGGCGGCCAAGCAGGUCCGUUGUGAAAACUGGAGGCUUAACCUCCAGACGUCGACGGAAACCGCGUGGCUAGAGUCCGGAAGAGGAGAGUGGAAUUCCUGGUGUAGCGGUGAAAUGCGCAGAUAUCAGGAAGAACACCAAUGGCGAAGGCAGCUCUCUGGGACGGUACUGACGCUGAGACGCGAAAGCGUGGGGAGCGAACGGG
rnacentral:rRNA from 1 species